rnacentral:lncRNA from 1 species
AUGCAGACCCCUUCACCGGCUGGACCGUCCCAGACCUUUAAAGCUGCGGCCUGUCAGUCUCCUCGCCCAGCUAAGACCGUCUGGACACCAGAUCCCUCAUCGACCUGCUGGCCCUGGAUCAUCAAUGAUGGACUCUCUGCCUCUCAUUCCCCUCCUAAAGAAGUGCCGGUUAGUUCUAUUAUUAGGGCCAGUCAUAGUCAGAGUGACAUGAGGUACAGGAAGUUCUCCAGGAACCACCAGUGUACCUGCAUGUCCCUGACUUUUCUGGCUUAUCAGAACGAAGGUUGUCAGUUGAACAGUGCUGCCCUCGAUAGAGUGCUGGCAAAGGGAGAUUCACUUUAUGUAGGUGUAAAAAGACAGCUGAUCCGGGAAAAAAGAUUCCACAGUGACCAUCUCACUGUGGAAGAACUGCCCAAACAAGUCCUGACAGACACAGAUAUGUUUCACCUCCACUGGCCUGAAAUCCGGUGUGGACCUGUGAAAGCCAGUGGAAGCCAGGCUUGGGGUCUGCCUGCGUCCUCAAGACGGCUCCUGCACACGCAGCAGCAGAGUGCGUCCUCAAGACGGCUCCUGCACACGCAGCAAAAGAACAUUUCUCAAAGUUGUCAAAGCAACAGCGACGAAGAGCGAUGCAGAAAGCCAGCAAAAACCAAUACGCAUUACUGUCUGAAGGGAAAAAAAAGGAAAAAAAUCCAAUAUCAAAGGAAAAGGUACAGCAGCUGUCCGGAAUUUAGGAGAAAAAAACUCAAAGCACAAAGGAGAAGAUAUGCCAAAGACAGUCUCCAUCAGGGACAGCGAUUACUGUCCUUCAAAUGUUACUAUGAAAAUGUUCAAGAUAAGAAGAAGGAAGAACUUGUCAGAAGAUACAAGGAAGAUGCUACUUUCAGGCAACAACGGAAGACUUGCAUUACAAAGAAAUACAAGGAAGAUGCCACGUUCCGCACCAGACAAAAGAAACGCAUCACAGAUAAAUACGAGGAAGAUGCCACGUUCCGCACCAGACAAAAAAAUUACAUUGCCGAUAGAUACAAGUCAAAUACAGUGUUUUGGAGCAGACAAACAUUUGUCAUGUCUCAGAGGUACAACACAGAUCCAAACUAUAGCCAAAAACAAAAGCAAGAUUUCAAUCUUAGAUAUCACAACGAUACAGAAUUUAAACGUCGUUUUAAUCAACGUUGUAACCAGCAGAGAGGAACCAAAUUGGCCACAAAUCCUGCCUUUAACAUAUUUUACAAGAUGCAGAGAGCGCUUAGACUCAAGAGAAAAUACAGACAAAUUGUGCCCCACCGCCCCCAGCCCCUGAUUAAUCCGCUGAUGGAAGCAGCCAUAGCUGCCUUUCGUGAGUCCAUUAGACAUGGACCCACAUACAUUUGCACUGUUUGUCACAGAGCCCAGUUUCCUAAUCAGGUCAAAGAAUGCAAAAGGCAAAAAUAUAGUAAACAUGCAAAAGUGGCAGCAGCAUGCUUGACAGGAAAGUAUGUUCACUUUUGUGACAGUGACUGCUCUACACCUUGCGCUGUGCCACAAGAGAGACUGCAUGAGUGGAUAUGCUACACCUGUGACAGCUACCUUAUCAGAGGACGCAUACCACCCAUGGCAGUCAUAAACAAUUUGGAGUUGGCACCCAUCCCCCCAAAAUUAGCUGUACUUAAUAUGCUUGAGAGGCAGCUGAUUGCAAAAAUCCUGCCAUUUGCAAAAAUUGUUGCUCUGCCAAAAGGCCAACAGAGAGCAGUCCACGGAGCUGUUGUGUGCGUUGCAUCAGAAGUGGAAGCGACCGUCAAUAGUCUCCCGAGGCCCAGAGCAGAGGCGCAGCUGCUUCAAGUGAAAUUGAAAAGGCACAUUAAAUACAAAGGUUACCGGCACUUUUACACCGUUAAUAUGAAGAAUGUGCUAGCUGGCCUUGCAACGUUGAAAGAGACGCAUUCCGAAUAUAAAGACGUGUUUAUCGAUGAGACUGCCACUUUUGACUGUCUGCUCGAAAAAGAGGAUCUCAUCGAAGAAGAGGAGUCCAGACAAGAAGAGGAGCCCAUUGAUGACGAGGAUCCCAGAGGAAGAUAG